CGGUUUUCUCGGCAGCAAGUGCUCCGGCAGCAAACACGCAACGCGUCUCUACAUUCACUUUGAAUGGGAUCGUGCAGCGCGGCAACUUUUUGCAUCUUAUGGUGUGAACGCAGGGUCGGAGUGACCUAGAGUUCACUACCUGAUCCAGAUCAAACCGCUAAAAUGGAGGAAAAGCUCAUCAUUUCAGUCUCCGCAUUCCCGGAGAUCUUCAACACCACCUUGGCCAGUAAGGACCGGACGGUCAAGGCCAAGGCUUGGCUGAAGGUGAGCAAGGAGGUCGGGCUAAAUGAGGAGGAAUGCCGACGAUAGUGGAUGGUCCUGAGGGACACCUACCUCAGGGAGAGACGCAGACAGGAGGCAGGAGAGAGGAGUGGGACAGCAGCAGGCCCGUUGAAGACGUGGAAGUACUCUGCAGUCCUGUCUUUCCUCGGCCCAUUUGUUACUCCGAGGGAGACCAGUAGCAAUAUGGUGCUGGGGGUCGAGGUAGACGGGAUUGCAGAGUACCCAGUCGAGGACCACGGUUCAGAGGCAGCAGCAGGGACAGCGAGUGACCUGGGAGGUUGGUCGAUAAGGGAAGACACACACACACGCCCAUACACAGCAUGAUUUGUUCUAUAGAUUGAUAACUACCUCUUGUCACCUCAGAAGAUCCCUGUACAAGCUGUGAGGAGCCGGAAGCUGCUGCUGCCUCUGAACCCAUUCCACCACCACCACCACCACCAACUGCUGCGGUCACCACUCCUCCUAUUGCCCCAGUGAGGAGGACACAGAAAAGAGGGAGAGUGGGGGGGGAGGGAGAGGGAGGGACAGAUAGAGAAGUGCCUCCUGGAGGUGUUCAGGAGGCCGCCUCCACCUGCUCCAGCGCCUCCGCCUCCUCCUCCUCCUCCUCCUCCUCCUCCUCCUCCUCCUCCUCCUCCUCCUCCUCCUCCUCCAGCGCCUCUCUCUCCGAGGACAAACAUUUUUUUAAAGGGAUAAUUCCUUCCCUGCAACGAUUGUCACCCCAUGCAAAAGAACACAUACAAUUUCAAAUUUAUAAAUUAUUGCAUGACGCUAACAAUUUAUAUAAUCCAGGAGUGCUCAAUUUGGACUCUCAAUUUGAACCAUUCGCUGAAUAGGUUCACUGGGGUGACAAUCGUUGCAGGGAAUGAUCCAUGCCCAUUUUUUUUUGUUUACACUCACGCACACACACACACACGCCCCAAUAAAGGAUUAUUUUUAUUCAAAAGAUGGCUUCAGAUUCUUUAUUGAAUGGCCAUUUAAGUUGCUUGAGGGAAAUGUUGCAAAUUAUUUUGUGCCACAGAUUUUAGGGUCUAAGCAACUUUGCUUAAGGUAUUGUUGUCAGGUAUGUUGUGCCCUACUCGUUGAAGAGCACAACCAAGAACGGGAGGUCCCCACAGCGACAGUUAAAUGUACGUUACAUUUAUUUAGUAACCAAAAAAACAAAUCAGUAUUCUGUAGUGUUGUGUGGUGUUUACAAACUAAACUAUGAG